UACAGAGGUCUCAAGCGUUGUUCGGAUUCAUUGGGCGUAAAGGGUGCGUAGGUGGCAAGGUAAGUCGGGUGUGAAAUCCCGGGGCUCAACCCUGGAACUGCACUCGAUACUGCCAUGCUCGAGUACUGGAGAGGAGACUGGAAUUUACGGAGUAGCAGUGAAAUGCGUAGAUAUCGUAAGGAAGACCAGUGGCGAAGGCGAGUCUCUGGACAGUUACUGACACUGAGGCACGAAGGCCAGGGGAGCAAACGGG
rnacentral:rRNA from 1 species